GACGAACGCUGGCGGCGUGCUUAACACAUGCAAGUCGAACGGAAAGGCCCCUUUGGGGGUACUCGAGUGGCGAACGGGUGAGUAACACGUGAGUAACCUUCCCUUGACUUCUGGAUAACUUCAGGAAACUGGGGCUAAUACCGGAUAGGAAUCCUUGCUGCAUGGGGGGGGAUGGAAAGCUUUGGGGGGUUUGGGUGGACUCGUGGCUUAUCGGCUUGUUGGUGGGGUAGUGGCUUACCAAGGCUUUGACGGGUAGCCGGCCUGUGAGGGCGACCGGCCACAUUGGGACUGAGAGACGGCCCAGACUCCUACGGGAGGCAGCAGUGGGGAAUCUUGCACCAUGGGCGGAAGCCUGAUGCAGCAACGCCGCGUGCGGGAUGACGGCCUUCGGGUUGUAAACCGCUUUCAGCAGGGGCGAAGCUUGUGGUGACGGUACCUGCAGAAGAAGCACCGGCUAACUACGUG
rnacentral:rRNA from 1 species